AGACAGCUAGGAAGUUGGCUUAGAAGCAGCCAUCCUUUAAAGAAAGCGUAAUAGCUCACUAGUCGAGUCGUCCUGCGCGGAAGAUGUAACGGGGCUAAGCACGUAACCGAAGCUGCGGAUCUCGUAAGAGAUGGUAGAGGAGCGUUCUGUAAGUCUGCGAAGGUGUGCUGUGAGGCAUGCUGGAGAUAUCAGAAGUGCGAAUGCUGACAUGAGUAGCGAUAAAGGGGGUGAAAGGCCCCCUCGCCGAAAACCCAAGGUUUCCUGCGCAACGUUCAUCGGCGCAGGGUGAGUCGGCCCCUAAGGCGAGGCAGAGAUGCGUAGCUGAUGGGAAACGGGUCAAAAUUCCCGUACUUUCGUUCACUGCGAUGUGGGGACGGAGAAGGUUAGGUGAGCCGGGUGUUGGAUGUCCCGGUUUAAGUGCGUAGGCGGAUCCCUUAGGCAAAUCCGGGGGGUCAACGUCGAGACAUGAUGACGGUGCUCCAUUGGAGCCGAAGUCACUGAUACCAAGCUUCCAGGAAAAGCCACUAAGCUUCAGGUGAACGAGAACCGUACCGCAAACCGACACAGGUGGGUAGGAUGAGAAUUCUAAGGCGCUUGAGAGAACUCGGGUGAAGGAACUCGGCAAAUUGGUACCGUAACUUCGGGAUAAGGUACGCCCCGAUGACGUGAAGUCCCUGCGGAUGGAGCGGUAAGGGGUUGCAGUGAAAAGGUGGCUGCGACUGUUUAAUAAAAACACAGCACUCUGCAAACACGAAAGUGGACGUAUAGGGUGUGACGCCUGCCCGGUGCCGGAAGGUUAAUUGAUGGGGUGCAAGCUCUUGAUCGAAGCCCCGGUAAACGGCGGCCGUAACUAUAACGGUCCUAAGGUAGCGAAAUUCCUUGUCGGGUAAGUUCCGACCCGCACGAAUGGCGUAACGAUGGCCACACUGUCUCCACCCGAGACUCAGCGAAGUUGAAAUGUUUGUGAAGAUGCAAUCUCCCCGCGGCUAGACGGAAAGACCCCAUGAACCUUUACUGUAGCUUUGCAUUGGACUGUGACGGGACUUGUGUAGGAUAGCUGGGAGGCUUUGAAGCGGCGCCGCUAGGUGUCGUGGAGCCGACGUUGAAAUACCAGCCUGGUGUCGUUGCGGUUCUAACCUGGGUCCAUUAACUGGAUCGGGGACCGUGCAUGGUGGGCAGUUUGACUGGGGCGGUCUCCUCCCAAAAGGUAACGGAGGAGUGCGAAGGUUCUCUAGACACGGUCGGACAUCGUGUUGAUAGUGCAAUGGCAUAAGAGAGCUUGACUGCGAGACUGACACGUCGAGCAGGUGCGAAAGCAGGUCAUAGUGAUCCGGUGGUUCUGUAUGGAAGGGCCAUCGCUCAACGGAUAAAAGGUACUCUGGGGAUAACAGGCUGAUUCCUCCCAAGAGUUCAUAUCGACGGGGGAGUUUGGCACCUCGAUGUCGGCUCAUCACAUCCUGGGGCUGUAGCCGGUCCCAAGGGUAUGGCUGUUCGCCAUUUAAAGUGGUACGUGAGCUGGGUUUAAAACGUCGUGAGACAGUUUGGUCCCUAUCUGCCGUGGGCGUUGGAUAUUUGAGGGGGGCUGCUCCUAGUACGAGAGGACCGGAGUGGACGUGCCUCUGGUGUACCGGUUAUGACGCCAGUCGUAUCGCCGGGUAGCUAAGCACGGAAGAGAUAAACGCUGAAAGCAUCUAAGCGUGAAACU
rnacentral:rRNA from 1 species